UACAGAGGGUGCGAGCGUUGUCCGGAAUCACUGGGCGUAAAGGGCUCGUAGGCGGUCCGUCACGUCGGGAGUGAAAACUCAGGGCUCAACCCUGAGCGUGCUUCCGAUACGGGCGGACUAGAGGUAUGCAGGGGAGAACGGAAUUCCUGGUGUAGCGGUGGAAUGCGCAGAUAUCAGGAGGAACACCGGUGGCGAAGGCGGUUCUCUGGGCAUUACCUGACGCUGAGGAGCGAAAGCAUGGGGAGCGAACAGG
rnacentral:rRNA from 1 species